rnacentral:rRNA from 1 species
GGACCCGCACAAGCGGUGGAGCAUGUGGUUUAAUUCGAUGCAACGCGAAAAACCUUACCUACACUUGACAUACUUUGAAUUUUUUAGAGAUAAAAAAGUGCCUUCGGGAACGAAGAUACAGGUGCUGCAUGGCUGUCGUCAGCUCGUGUCGUGAGAUGUUGGGUUAAGUCCUAUAACGAGCGCAACCCUUACCCUUAUUUGCCAGCGGUUCGGCCGGGAACUAUAAGGGAACUGCCGGUAAUAAGCCGGAGGAAGGUGGGGACGACGUCAAGUCAUCAUGGCCCUUACGUGUAGGGCUACACACGUGCUACAAUGGGAGAUACAGACGGUUGCGAAAGCGCGAGCUGGAGCUAAUCUGAGAAAGUCUCUCGUAGUCCGAAUUGCAGUCUGGAACUCGACUGCAUGAAGCCGGAAUCGCUAGUAAUCG